rnacentral:misc_RNA from 1 species
UAUACCUUCUUCUUAGCGCCA